AGGGGGAUAACAGUCAGAAAUGACUGCUAAUACCGCAUAAGACCACAGCACCGCAUGGUGCAGGGGUAAAAACUCCGGUGGUACAGGAUGGACCCGCGUCUGAUUAGCUGGUUGGUGAGGUAACGGCUCACCAAGGCGACGAUCAGUAGCCGGCUUGAGAGAGUGAACGGCCACAUUGGGACUGAGACACGGCCCAAACUCCUACGGGAGGCAGCAGUGGGGAAUAUUGCACAAUGGGGGAAACCCUGAUGCAGCUACGCCGCGUGAGUGAAGAAGUAUCUCGGUAUGUAAAGCUCUAUCAGCAGGGAAGAAAAUGACGGUACCUGACUAAGAAGCCCCGGCUAACUACGUGCCAGCAGCCGCGGUAAUACGUAGGGGGCAAGCGUUAUCCGGAAUCACUGGGUGUAAAGGGUGCGUAGGUGGUAUGGCAAGUCAGAAGUGAAAACCCAGGGCUUAACUCUGGGACUGCUUUUGAAACUGUCAGACUGGAGUGCAGGAGAGGUAAGCGGAAUUCCUAGUGUAGCGGUGAAAUGCGUAGAUAUUAGGAGGAACAUCAGUGGCGAAGGCGGCUUACUGGACUGAAACUGACACUGAGGCACGAAAGCGUGGGGAGCAAACA
rnacentral:rRNA from 1 species